AGCGAGGGAUGCUCCAAGGUCUGCCCUGUACAUUGAUGAGCCUAUGGCAGGGCAAGUUGGAUGACUGUCAUGAGCUGGGCAAGGACACAGCAUUGAGGACAUGGCAAGGACCCAGCAGCAGGGACAUGGGCACAAGCGUGUGGGUGCCCCAGCUCUCACUCCCCCUCAACAAAACCCUCUGUGCCCCAAGGUGCAGCUGCUGGCGUGACCACUCAGGAUAUCGGAAGCUCCCCAGGCAAUGUGGUGAGUUCUCCAGCAAGUCCAUCACCCUCAGCUCCAAAUUCCCGGAUCCCACACACCCUCGCCACAGCCAUGGCGCUGGCAUUGGCGGCCGUUGGCCUCGUCGUCCUGGCUGCAGGCAGCUGGUUUGCCAUUAGGAAAGGUGCCUGCAGAGGGAGAUAUCCAAGGCAGCAGCACGUUGACAGCCCACAGAUGGAAACCACAGACAACGGCGAAGUCACAUGUGAGUACUGCCUCCCUCGGGGGAAGCCAUAUACCUGUCUGUGGUGGAAUCCCAGCACUUCAUGUUCUACUGGGACAUACAAAAUCCCUGCCUGUUCAUCAAGGCCAGGUUUCUCUCCAGCACUUCAUGUCCUGCUUCUUCCUUGCAUGCAGAGCGCGGCUGCUGGCUGCACAAGGGACAUGGCAGCAUCCCAGUGCUCCCAGGGACAAAGCCCAUUUGCUUGGGGGUUCCUUCCAUACCAGCUCCGGCCUCAGGCAGCAUUUCCCCUGCUUCAGCCUCUGCUUUUGUCCUUUCUUCAGUUUCUCUUCAGUGUCAUUUCUGCUUCAAGAACAACACAAAGCACAUCACAGCAACGAAAGAUGUGGCUCUGUUUCCUUUCCUUGCUGGGGAAAAUAUUUUAGAUCUUGCUCUGAAAGCAUAGGCAGCAGCCAAGGGAGGAUGUUGUGGUUGGGCGUCAGGCUACAGAUAUAUACCUACCUGACAUGCACGUAGCUUGAGUUGCAGCAUGACCUUUUUUACCCACUCCUGCACAGCGCAUUUUGCAAGGUGUGCUGGCUGUGCAAAGAGAGGCGACGCCACAGAAAGCUGGAAAUACACCAAAACCUCAGCAUCUCUGCUCCACUGCUGCUUAAUGCGUAUCACAGAUCAGGGUGAUGGGAGGGGAAAUGUGGUCAGGCGUUGAGAGCUGACCUCAGGCAGCUGAUGUCCAAAGCUCAAGGGGGUUCACCCCCUUUCAAUCAGCAAGGGCUCAUGGUGUGUUUUUUCCCCACAGACUCAACCAUCGCUCAUGUUCGACGGGACAGGGUGAGUCGUGGCACAGCUGUGCACAGCUCCUUUCUGCACUCCUGCAGCCUGGUGCCCGGUCAUUGUGCAGGGCUCACAGUCAGCAGCUGAAGUAACAGGGUUUCUUUUCUCCCUAAAGCCUCGUCCUGUGCAGCACAUGAGCGACACCACGACGUAUGCCACGGUGACCCGAACUCAGACCCGAUAGCGCUGCCACAGGGCAAGGGCACAGGAGCCUUGACCACGGCUGCCUUUACUCUUUUGUAGGGGGCUCUUGAAGCCAUAUCAUGGGGCUGGGGGGUGCACUUUGGGGUUCUCUGGGGUUUUCUGUCACAGGAAAUGCUGUGUGUAUCUAGCCAAGAGGAUGAAGGACUCAUAUCUCAGUUUGCAAUAAAUUAAUACCUCUAAAAUAUAUCA
rnacentral:lncRNA from 1 species